rnacentral:rRNA from 1 species
GGACUGAGAUACGGCCCAGACUCCUACGGGAGGCAGCAGUGGGGAAUAUUGCACAAUGGGCGCAAGCCUGAUGCAGCGACGCCGCGUGGGGGAUGACGGCCUUCGGGUUGUAAACCUCUUUCAGCACAGACGAAGCGCAAGUGACGGUAUGUGCAGAAGAAGCACCGGCCAACUACGUGCCAGCAGCCGCGGUAAUACGUAGGGUGCGAGCGUUGUCCGGAAUUACUGGGCGUAAAGAGCUUGUAGGUGGUUUGUCGCGUUGUUCGUGAAAUCUCACGGCUUAACUGUGAGCGUGCGGGCGAUACGGGCAGACUAGAGUACUGCAGGGGAGACUGGAAUUCNUGGUGUAGCGGUGGAAUGCGCAGAUAUCAGGAGGAACACCGGUGGCGAAGGCGGGUUCUCUGGGGCAGUAACUUGACGCUUGAGAAAGCGAAAGCNGUGGGGGGAGCGAAACCAAGGGAAUUUUAGA